rnacentral:lncRNA from 1 species
CAGGCACAUUCCUGAUGCUUGCAGUUUCAAACAUGCUGCUGUGGGAGAAAGUUUCAUCCAUUCCUGCAUGUCUUGCGGAAGAGGGUGGCUGCUGGAACCCCAUUGUGGAAACAUUUAACAGUGCCAUGCAGCGAGGUGAAACCCUCCGUAAUCUUGCUGACCAAUUAUAUACAGAGCUUUAUCACAAUCAAUUCUCAUCUGAACAAUUUUUGGCUCUUGUAAGUACCUCACUUAUUUUCAGCUACUUUCCAAUAAUAGUCUCAUGUCAAUGAUAAGACUUUAGAUGAGACAGACAACCUGACAGCUUUUAAACUUCUUAACCCUCACAAUUAUUUAUUAACCUUUCAUGAAUAAGGUAACUAUUUGAAAUAAAUAAGAUAUUCUAAAGUGGAUAUUUAAGUAAAUUAAAUAUUUCAUUAACCAUACAAAGACUAAUCUAAUACAUGGUAUUAAUUAAUACUUUUAUAUUUUGUUGAUGUUGAAUUAACAUAGAAUUUACUGUAAAAUUUUGUGAAACAAAAAACACAAUUUCAUUCUAAAACCAUUAUAAACGUGCACAGCUAUAUUCUUUAAUGUUAAAUUAAUAAAUUUAUAAUUUUGUUGUUGGGUAAGGAAUAUCAUUACCUAUUGACAGAAAAUAGGAAGAUUGAUAAAUAUGCUGAAUAGCUUUAUGCUAAAAUGCUAAACAAUGGUGAUAAGUAAAUCACUUAGUUCUUCAAAAGUUACUCCUUUCAGCGUCUGCC